GCGACGCGGUGGCGUGCCCCACGUGGCGUCU
rnacentral:sRNA from 1 species